rnacentral:rRNA from 1 species
AGGACGAACGCUGGCGGCGUGCUUAACACAUGCAAGUCGAGCGGUGAUCCUCCUUCGGGAGGUGAUCAGCGGCGAACGGGUGAGUAACACGUGGGCAACCUGCCCCUCACACUGGGAUAACCUCGGGAAACCGGGGCUAAUACCGGAUACGACCUCGAGCGGCAUCUCUUGAGGUGGAAAGCUCCGACGGUGAGGGAUGGGCCCGCGGCCUAUCAGCUUGUUGGUGGGGUAAUGGCCUACCAAGGCGACGACGGGUAGCCGGCCUGAGAGGGCGACCGGCCACACUGGGACUGAGACACGGCCCAGACUCCUACGGGAGGCAGCAGUGGGGAAUAUUGCGCAAUGGGCGAAAGCCUGACGCAGCGACGCCGCGUGAGGGAUGAAGGCCUUCGGGUUGUAAACCUCUUUCAGCAGGGACGAAGCGAAAGUGACGGUACCUGCAGAAGAAGCACCGGCUAACUACGUGCCAGCAGCCGCGGUAA